GGGCAACGAGAUAGCGUCGGGCAACGGUGGCGCCGCGGCAGGCGACGACGAGGACGGGCAGAACCUCUGGUCCUGCAUCCUCAGCGAGGUCUCCACCCGCUCGCGCUCCAAGCUCCCUGCGGGGAAGAACGUGCUACUGCUGGGUGAAGAUGGAGCUGGAAAAACAAGCUUAAUAAGAAAAAUUCAGGGAAUAGAGGAGUAUAAGAAAGGAAGAGGAUUGGAAUAUUUGUACUUAAAUGUGCAUGAUGAAGACAGGGAUGAUCAAACAAGAUGUAAUGUUUGGAUCUUAGAUGGAGACCUAUAUCACAAAGGCCUCCUUAAAUUUUCACUGGAUGCCGUAUCUCUGAAGGAUACUCUAGUUAUGCUGGUUGUUGACAUGUCAAAGCCUUGGACUGCUUUGGAUUCUUUACAGAAAUGGGCAAGUGUUGUUAGAGAACAUGUUGACAAACUGAAAAUCCCUCCUGAAGAAAUGAAACAAAUGGAACAAAAGUUGAUUAGAGACUUCCAAGAAUAUGUAGAGCCAGGAGAAGACUUCCCGGCUUCUCCCCAGAGAAGAAAUACUGCGUCACAAGAAGACAAAGAUGACAGUGUAGUUUUACCUCUGGGUGCGGAUACACUUACACAUAACUUGGGCAUUCCAGUACUAGUAGUUUGCACAAAGUGUGAUGCCAUUAGUGUAUUGGAGAAAGAACAUGACUACAGAGAUGAACAUUUUGAUUUUAUUCAGUCACAUAUUCGGAAGUUUUGUUUACAGUAUGGUGCAGCACUUAUUUACACUUCAGUAAAAGAAAACAAAAAUAUAGACUUAGUAUAUAAAUACAUCGUUCAGAAACUAUAUGGAUUUCCCUAUAAGAUUCCUGCUGUUGUUGUGGAAAAGGAUGCAGUAUUUAUUCCAGCAGGGUGGGAUAAUGAUAAGAAAAUAGGAAUAUUACAUGAAAAUUUUCAAACAUUAAAAGCAGAAGAUAAUUUUGAAGACAUCAUAACUAAACCACCUGUUCGAAAGGUAACCAUUUUAGUAAAUAAUCUCAAUAUUUAGACUUUAGACUAACCUGAGGGGAAGUCCAUACUUUAAAAUUGAAUGUAGAAAGGCAAAAAUGUCCUUUUCCAUCUGGAGGGUUUCUAAGUAUAAUUUUGGUGUGUUUCUAAUGUACAGUUUACAUAAGGAUUUGUUUUAGCAAAAUAGAAAUCAGCUAUUCAGCUAAUUAAAUCUUCGCCCUUGGCAUAUUUAUAUUAGCAAUUGUUAGUGCAGAAUCCACAUUCUAAUAUAGUGCUUUGGAAAUCAGAUUGGCAUGAGUGAAUAUGUGGAUCUUACAGAGUUUGAAUAGGUAGAAGCUGUGAACUUUCCAACCUAGAGCUUGGCCAAGAGCCAAGAAAACAUUGCUAGAAUAAUUCUGUUGGUUCUAUCUAUUGAGGCAGGUCUUGGAUCUUCUCUCCAGUUAGUUACCCACAUUAGCUCACAGCUAUCCAAGAACUUUCAAAUAUAUAUAUAUAUAUAUAUAUAUAUAUAUAUAUAUAUAUUUUUUUUUUUUUUUUUUUUUUUUUUUUGAGAUGGAGUCUCACUGUGUUACCCAGCCUGGAGUAAAAUGGCAUGAUCUCAGCUCACUGCAACCUCUGCCUCCCAGGUUCAAGCGAUUCUGUCACCUCAGCCUCCCGAGUAGCUGGGAUUACAGGCACCCACCAUCGUGCCCAGCUAAUUUUUUUGUAUUUUUGUAGAGAUGGGUUUCACCAUGUUGGCCAGGCUGGUCUUGAACUCCUGACCUCAAAUGAUCCGCUCACCUCGGCCUCCCAAAGUGCUGGGAUUACAGGUGUGAGCCACUGCACCCGGCCCAGUUUUAGUCUCGACUCUAACAUAUCAAUCUAUCCAAUCAGAUCCCAGAAGAUACACUGCUUUCCUAUAUCUUGACUUCAUGCAGUGUAUAAUGUUCUAUAGAUAGAGAUGUUUCUGAAAGCUCUAUAAAAAUGAGUAUUUGCAUAAAUAAAUUGACUAUCCCUAAUCUGAAAAUCCAAAAUGCUCAAAAAUCUGAAACACUUUGAGCUCCAACAUGACUCUCAAAAGGAAGUGCUUAUUGAAACAUUUUGGAUUUUCAGAUUACGGAUGCUGAACUGAUAAGUAUUAAUGCAAAUAUUCAGCAAUCUGAAACACUUCCACUUCUGGUCGCAAGCAUUUCGGAUGAAGGAUACUCAACUUGUAGUAGUUCUCACUGACUGACUUUAAUCUUGACAUAUAUAUCAAGAAAAAAUAAUUUUUAUUUAGCAUAUAAGAGUCUUCAGAAUCCAAACACUCAUAAUAUAAAGCAUCCAUCUUCUGUUUGUGGGUUAUUAUUAGUAAUAAGAAAAGGUCAAAUGAAAAAUCAGUUGGUGUGGUAUUUGGUUUGGAUGUCUAUUAAAAGAAAUGCACGCAUAAAAAUAAAAUAGCAAAAAUAUUUCACAUUCUUUUAUUGAGCAUCACCUCAGGCCCUGUUUAGGUUCUAAGUGCUAAAUGGGAAGGAGAGUGAUACCUAUAGUACACCAAUACAUAGACAUCUGUCAAGUAGUGAUAAGUGCUACAGAAAUAAAGCAGGAUGUAGGGAGAGUGAGCAAGGGGACUGGGCUGUGAGGGAUGCUGUAUAUGAAUGAUGGGGGAAGGUCUUUGAUAAAGGGGGGAGAAUGCUGAAGGCAGGGGGAACUAAAAGUGUACAUGCCCUGAGGCAGAAAUAUAUGAGGAAGACAGAGGCAGGAAAGAGCUGUGGGGAAGGUUAAGCUAGUUGAUGAGAGGCAGAAUUAAGUUACUGUGGGUCUUUAUCAUUAGGCUACAGUAAGGACUUUAGGUUUCAUUCUGAGUUAGAUGGAAAGAGAUUGAGAGGUUGAGCAGAGGAGUGAUGUAAUCUGACUUAACCUUUUAGAAGAAUCACUGGCUCCUGGGAAGAAAAUAGAUUGGGUAUGUGUUAUACAGCAAGAAUAGAAGCAGGAGACUUUUGCAAUUCCUUUUCCUAAUUAUUCAGCUCAUAGAAGAGCCAUUAUAUUUUUAUUUCAGAGAAACAAGGGAGAAGUUGCAUUUCACUUAACUAGGAUAUUACUGGCCCUUUUAAAACACCCUAACUGCUGUUUAGCAAAUUUUAUAAGCAUGAUUAAUAUGCUUGUGACUCUAGGGUUGUGCUGUUCAAUACGGUAGCCACUUGCCUCGUAUGCCUUUUAAAUGUAAAAUUAGAUAAAAUUAAAAAUCAGUUCCUUAGUCACACUAGCCACAUUUCAAGUGCUCAAUAGCCACUGGUGGCUAGUGACUGCCAUAUUGAACAGCACAGAUAUAGAAUAUUUCCAAAACUGUAGCUAGUUACUAGACACCUCUGCUGAAGGCCUUGGGUAGGGCAGUUCACGCAUGUGAAUAUAAAUAUAGUAUAGGUAAUGUUCAAAUUCUUGAACUGUUUUUUAAUUAGUCCAAUCUAGAGAAUAAAUUAUUAAUUGUGUUAGCGUAAUAUAUUAAAUUUGCUCAUUUGUGCAUUGCUCAUUUCAGUUUGUACAUGAGAAGGAAAUUAUGGCAGAAGAUGAUCAGGUGUUUCUUAUGAAGCUACAGGUAUGAAAUUAUAUCAGAAGCAGACUUAGUAUGGUUAAUGAGUAAACUGUUCUUGUGUGUAUUUUCUUUAAAAAUACACCAGUAUAUGCUAUGAAUGUCUAAACUAGGAUUUUUUUGGUUUUUUUUUUUUUUUUUCAGUCCCUUUUAGCAAAGCAACCACCAACUGCAGCUGGAAGGCCUGUGGAUGCCUCACCAAGAGUCCCAGGAGGCUCCCCACGAACACCAAAUAGAUCUGUAUCAUCUAAUGUUGCCAGCGUGUCACCCAUUCCUGCUGGGUCAAAAAAAAUUGAUCCAAACAUGAAAGCUGGAGCUACAAGUGAAGGUGUUCUGGCAAAUUUCUUCAACAGUUUGUUGAGUAAAAAGACUGGCUCUCCAGGAGGCCCUGGUGUGAGUGGUGGUAGCCCUGCAGGUGGGGCUGGAGGUGGAAGCAGUGGUUUACCACCAUCCACCAAAAAGUCAGGCCAGAAGCCUGUCUUAGAUGUUCAUGCGGAACUAGACAGAAUUACACGAAAACCAGUUACAGUUUCUCCCACAACACCUACAUCUCCUACGGAAGGAGAAGCUUCUUGAAGAUACCAAAUAAAGCCAUUUAUUCUGUUUUCUGGGAUAAUGUAAACAUGCCUCUGCCUUUUCCUUCAAAAGUGGAAUUAGAAAGCUGGAGUGCUUCUUCAGAUGGACUAAAUUUAUGUCAUGUGUGUGUGUGUGUGUGUGUGUGGUUACCCAUUUUUUAGAAGGAGCCGUACAGAAGAAAAAUUAUUCUACAUUAUGUAGGAUUGCUGUUUGCAUUGCCAUUUUGCAUAAGAAAGUAAUUUUUGAUUUUGAAAAUCUCAAAACUUUUAGAUCUGAAAUACAACCAUGUGAUCGAUCAUAUUCUAAAGGCUAUUUAAAACAUGUAAAAGGAUUUGGGGAAGGGCAGAAAACAUGCAGUUUGGGCAUUUGACUGACUUGGAAGUCUAAGCUUAUUUUAGUUAUAACUAUUAAAAUCAUUUUUAAAGAUUUGUUAGUUUUGCUGACAGAGAAAAAUCGUCAGUUGUCAGAUUUUGCACACCACAAUAAAUGUACCACCACACACGGAAUAUGCUAAGAAAACUAUCAGAUAGCGUUUGAUACACUAGUCAUUGUCUCAAUCACUGAUCCUGUAAGUUGUCAUCAAAAUAUGAUUUAGAAAUAUUGGCCAAGGUGUUUCUUUAACUGAGGAGAAAAGAAAGCACACUGCCUAAAUGUGUAAAAGAAAAAUGCAGAGGUUAUUAAAAUGUAAAGAAGUAACAU
rnacentral:sRNA from 1 species